rnacentral:tRNA from 1 species
GGAGGCGUGGCUGAGCGGCCGAAAGCGGCACCGUGCUAAGGUGUUAGGGGGGCAACCUCCUCAGAGGUUCGAAUCCUCUCGCCUCCGCAA